ensembl:miRNA gga-mir-7444 gga-mir-7444
GUAAGGCUCCUUCUGACCUCCUUGCACUCUCUGGGACCUGGAGUGUUAGGUGCAGCCUUGCUG